UGAGAAGGGAAUAUCUGCCAGCC
rnacentral:piRNA from 1 species